UACGUAGGGUGCAAGCGUUGUCCGGAAUUAUUGGGCGUAAAGAGCUCGUAGGCGGUUCGUCGCGUCGGCUGUGAAAACCUGAGGCUCAACCUCAGGCCUGCAGUCGAUACGGGCGGACUUGAGUACUGCAGGGGAGACUGGAAUUCCUGGUGUAGCGGUGAAAUGCGCAGAUAUCAGGAGGAACACCGGUGGCGAAGGCGGGUCUCUGGGCAGUAACUGACGCUGAGUAGCGAAAGCGUGGGGAGCGAACAGG
rnacentral:rRNA from 1 species